ACAAUGAAGAGUUUGAUCCUGGCUCAGGAUGAACGCUAGCUACAGGCUUAACACAUGCAAGUCGAGGGGCAGCAUUCCAGUUUGCUUGCAAACUGGAGAUGGCGACCGGCGCACGGGUGAGUAACACGUAUCCAACCUGCCGAUAACUCGGGGAUAGCCUUUCGAAAGAAAGAUUAAUACCCGAUGGCAUAAUAGAACCGCAUGGUUUGAUUAUUAAAGAAUUUCGGUUAUCGAUGGGGAUGCGUUCCAUUAGGCAGUUGGUGGGGUAACGGCCCACCAAACCUUCGAUGGAUAGGGGUUCUGAGAGGAAGGUCCCCCACAUUGGAACUGAGACACGGUCCAAACUCCUACGGGAGGCAGCAGUGAGGAAUAUUGGUCAAUGGACGAGAGUCUGAACCAGCCAAGUAGCGUGAAGGAUGACUGCCCUAUGGGUUGUAAACUUCUUUUAUAUGGGAAUAAAGUGGUCCACGUGUGGAUUUUUGUAUGUACCAUAUGAAUAAGGAUCGGCUAACUCCGUGCCAGCAGCCGCGGUAAUACGGAGGAUCCGAGCGUUAUCCGGAUUUAUUGGGUUUAAAGGGAGCGUAGGUGGAC
rnacentral:rRNA from 1 species